AUGGACUCCAAGGCGGUGCCUUCAGGAAGGAUACGACAUUGGAGCGCCGCCACCGCCCGAUCCGAGGAUCAUAGUUUUCCUUGGAGCCGCACGACGCCUUCAAGAAGGGAACAAGCUUCGCCACCGCCUGUCCGUCCGAAGAUAGAACAGGUUUUCAUCCCGGCCAACACUCACCGCCACCAAACGCCACACCCCGACUACCACGCCACCCACACGGUCAUGGCCACCGGGCAGCACCAAGCCAUGGGCUCUGCCCAAGAGCACCGCGCCACCGCCACCAGGGCCGCCGCCCCGGCAUCCAAGACCUUGACACCACCUCACCCGAGACCGCCGCUACCCCAACCAAAGAGACGAGCGAAAAGGUCCAACCUUUCGCACCCCUGGGCGACCCCCAGUGUCGAGAUCCAAUAG
rnacentral:rRNA from 1 species